rnacentral:sRNA from 1 species
AAAACACCGAGGCCUCGGCUAGAAUCGAGCGCCCCCCGGAACGCUGUAAGACAGCAGGACUGCCGUCCUCCUGGUAACGCAGGAGGUUGACGCAC